rnacentral:rRNA from 1 species
UACGAAGGGGGCUAGCGUUGCUCGGAAUGACUGGGCGUAAAGGGCGCGUAGGCGGUUUGGACAGUCAGAUGUGAAAUUCCUGGGCUCAACCUGGGGGCUGCAUUUGAUACGUUCGGUACUAGAGUGGGGAAGAGGGUCGUGGAAUUCCCAGUGUAGAGGUGAAAUUCGUAGAUAUUGGGAAGAACACCGGUGGCGAAGGCGGCGACCUGGUCCUUGACUGACGCUGAGGCGCGAAAGCGUGGGGAGCAAACAGG